UACAGAGGUCUCAAGCGUUGUUCGGAUUCAUUGGGCGUAAAGGGUGCGUAGGCGGCGCGGUAAGUCGGGUGUGAAAUCUCGGAGCUUAACUCCGAAACUGCAUUCGAUACUGCCGUGCUUGAGGACUGGAGAGGAGACUGGAAUUUACGGUGUAGCGGUGAAAUGCGUAGAUAUCGUAAGGAAGACCAGUGGCGAAGGCGGGUCUCUGGACAGUUCCUGACGCUGAGGCUCGAAGGUCCAGGGGAGCAAACGGG
rnacentral:rRNA from 1 species